AACGAACGCUGGCGGCGUGGAUAAGACAUGCAAGUCGAACGGAAUACUUUCUGUAGCAAUACGGGGAGUGUUUAGUGGCGUAAGGGUGCGUAACACGUGGGCAAUCUGCCCUGAAGUGGGGGAUAGCUCGCCGAAAGGCGAAUUAAUACCGCAUGAAGUUAAGGGAGACAUCUUCCUGAGACUAAAGGUGGCGCAAGCUACCGCUUCUGGAUGAGCCCGCGGCCUAUCAGCUCGUUGGUGAGGUAACGGCUCGCCAAGGCGAUGACGGGUAGCUGGUCUGAGAGGACGACCAGCCACACUGGAACUGAGAGACGGUCCAGACACCUACGGGUGGCAGCAGUCGAGAAUUUUUCUCAAUGGGGGCAACCCUGAAGGAGCGACGCCGCGUGGAGGAUGAAGGUCUUCGGAUUGUAAACUCCUGUCAUUAGGGAACAAGUGCUUUGGGAGUCACUGCCUAAAGUUUGAUAGUACCUGAAGAGGAAGAGACGGCUAUCUCUGUGCCAGCAGCCGCCGUAAAAC
rnacentral:rRNA from 1 species